rnacentral:lncRNA from 10 species
GAGAGAUUGGGCAUAGUGCCUGCCUUCCAGUGUGAAAUUAAUGGAAUAGGACUUUGUAAGGAACGCUAGGUGGGAUAGGGGACAAAUGUUUCAUUCACGUAAUAAAGUCAAAGUCAUGUUAAUAGAGGAGUUGAUCUUGAAUGAAGACUUGAUGAGGCUUAUUAAUAGGAUUGACUUUCCCUUUUCCUAAGUGAUAAUCAAAGAAAAACAAAUGGAGGGGAGGGAAUCUACCAAACUGCAACAAGGAGAAAAGGAAUCACCCCACAUCAUUUCUUCCCUGCCCCUUUCCCCUCCCUCUUGGGACUAGAAGCUGCUCCAUCUCCUCUACCCAGCAGCGAAACAGAGAGGGAGGCUGGGGCCCACCCUCCCACCAGAGGCUGUGAAAACAUGCAAUACCCGUGAAACCUGUUCACUUCUGGGGGAAAGAAAGUCUGCAGAGAGCGGAAGGAGACAGGUCUUCAGAAAGAGAGGGCAUAAAGGGAAAAGGCCCUUUUGUCUGUUGCAGGAGGAGGGAGACUGUGUGAAAGUGACUUAGCACUGUGCCCAGGUGCAAAGUUAGUGCCAAAUAAGUGUUAACUGUGGCUUUCUUUCUUCUCUCUCCUCUCUCUCUCUCUCUCACACACACACACACACAUGCAGGCACAAGCAGAUUCUACUACAAAUACCUGUCUUCUGCUAUAGGACCAUACUCUCACCUGACAUCAUACUCAGUCCAGUCAACAUUGCUCGGGAAGAUGUGGCUUCUUCUAGUCUGACACAGAAUAAUGAAUACGUGCAGAACCCAGUAACCUCAAGGGCCUCAACAAAGUCUGAGGUCUGAAUCAAUCGAGACGCAUCAGGUUGCAAGAAAUGCCACACAACCUCCUUUGUUGGUGAGAGGCUUGGCCACCACCCACACAUUUCCACAGGAUAGGAUGUGUUCAGGUGAGCAGCUGACCCCAGGUGCUUAUGAUCCCUGCAGCAAACUCUGUUCAUCACAGAAAUGUUGUUCAAAGCACAGGAACCCUCAAUUCAUCGGUGAGUAGGGGAGAGCAAUGGUUUAGCAAAUUGAGUAUUUUUGUUUCAGCACUUCAGAGUUGCUGGAUAUCUUGCUCAAAUUUAUUGCUCCUAGCUAGUAGAGUACACUAAAUACAAAUAAAUUUUUCUUUCUUUUUCUUUUUUCUUUUUUUUUGAGACAGGGUCUCACUCUGUCACCCAGGCUGGGGUACAGUGGCAUGAUCACAGCUCACUGCAGCCUCAAUCUCCUGGGGUCAGGUGAUCCUUCCACAUCAGCCACCCAAGUAGCUGGGACUAUAGGUGUAUGCCACCACGCCUAUGCCACCACGCCUAGCAAAUUUUUGUAUUUUGUUUGAGAUGGGGUUUUGUUAUGUUGCCCAGGCUGAAAUCUUUCUAAAAAUUAGACUUUGUGUCUAAUUAUGAAAAUAUUAGGUCGGGCGUGGUGGCUCAUGCCUGUAAUCCUAGCACUUUGGGAGGCAGAGGCAGGCAGAUCACCUGAGGUCAGGAGUUCGAGACCAGCCUGGCCAACAUGGUGAAAUCCCAUCUCUACUAAAAACACAAAAAUUAGCCGGAUGUGGUAGUGCGCACCUGUAAUCCCAGCUACUCAGGAGGCUGAGGCAGGAGAAUUGCUUUGAACCCUGGAGGCGGAGGUUGCAGUGAGCUGAGAUUGCAACACUGCACUCCAGCCUGGGCAACAGAGCAAGACUCUGUCUCCAAAAAAAAAAAAAAGAAAAAAAAAAAAAAGCUCAUUAGCUCAUUUGUAAAAAUGUAGAUAAGAAAAAGAAGAAAAUAAAUAUCACCAAUAGUUUUUACUGCACAGAAAUAAUAACAGCUUUAAAAUUUUAAUUUCCUUCCAGUCUUUCUCACGCACACACAAAAGAUGUUUGGCAUGCUGCAUCUUGCCUUUCUCAUUUAACAUUUUAUAUUUCAUGCACACUUUCCUGUGUCAUCAAAUAUUUCUCAGAAUAUGAUUUAAAUGUCCUUAUAUGGGCAUGCACAAGCAGAUCUUUCCUUGGUAACUUAGGCUGUGUGCACUGUCAUUAUUCCAGAACAUUAAUUUCCACUGAUGAUGUCACAGGGCUAGGUGACCUGGCUGAAAAUGAAGUGUCAGCAGAACUCACACUAAAACUUAAGUGUAUUUUAAUAUACCACUUAAUAAAAUAUUUCUCAUAAUAAUGAGUUUCUCCCCAUUACCAGAAGAAAAUAAAAAUCCUAGUCAAUUUAGAUUUUUCCUGAGGCUUGAAGAUAGUAAAAUUGAGAGUACACUGGGCAAGAAGCCAGCAAUUACAUUAAUAAAGCCCACCAUAAGCCAGGUGCAGUGGCUCAUGCCUGUAAUCCUAGCACUUUGGGAGGCUGAGGUGGGAGGAUCACUUGAGCCCAGGAGUUUGAGACUGGCCUGGGCAACAUAGUGAGACCUUGUCGCAACAAAAAAUUUAAAAAUCAGCCAGGUGUGGUGGCGCAUGCCUGUAGUCCCAGCUACUUGGGAGGCUGGGACAGGAGGAUCACUUGGGCCCAGGAGUUCGAGGCUGUAGUGAGCUAUGAUCGCACCACUACAUUCCAGCUUGGGCAAUAGAGUGAGACUCUUUCUCUAAAAUAAAUAAAUAGGCCAGGCGAGGGUCUCAUGCCUGUAAUCCCAGCACUUUGGGAGGCUGAGGCAGGUGGAUCACCUGAGAUCAGGAGUUCAAGACCAGCCUGGCCAAUGUGGUGAAACCCUGUCUCUACUAAAAAUACAAAAAUUAGCUGGGCAUGGUGGUGCGCACCUGUAGUCCCAGCUACUCAGCUAGCUGAGGUGGGAGAAUUGCUUUAAGCCAGGAGGCGGAAGUUGCAGUGAGCCAAGAUCGCGCCACUGCACUCCAGCCUGGGUGACAGAGAGAGACUUCAUCUCAAAAACAAAAUAAAUAAAUAAAAUAAAAUAAAUAAAUAAAGUAAAGACCAUGAUAAUGCUUUGUUGGCGGUCAUGAUAAAUUCACAGAAUCUUCCAGCUUGGGUUCCCUGAUUUGUGCUGCUACACUCCAGGGACAUCAGACAUGAAGUUUUGUACCACAGGUCUGCUCUGAGGCAUCUCCUCUGACAGUUCUGUUCUUAUUUCUGUGAGACUCAUCGGAUCCGUAAGUACAAACCCGUAUACUGCAUUUCUUUUAGAAGAACAAAUUAGAACAGGUCAAGUUGUAACGCAAAGAAAACAAACCUAAAAUGAUUCACAACACACGAACGUCUGAGAGCCCGGAGUGGGAAGCACAGCAGGGCAGAGCUCGGUUCUGGGUGGGAGGGCACUUCCAGCCCUCCGGCUGCCCAUCACUGGCUUCUCUUAGUGGGGCUCUUGUUUGGGCCUCUCCUCUCCCUAAGGUUUGAUUCUGUCCCAAGCUCCUGGCAGGCAGAGGCCAUAUCUGUGUAAAUCACUGUGUACAGUACCCAGCCAAAACCCAUCCACAAAUGUCCCUGAUAAGAGGCUUUAUUUAUUCAUUUCCUUAAGAGUUAAUGCAUUCAUCUGGUUCAAAAAUCCAAAAGGCAGCCAGGUGCAGUGGCUCACGCCUGUAAUCCCAGCACUUUGGGAGGCCAAGGUGGGCGGAUCACCUGAGGUCAGGAGUUCGAGACCAGCCUGGCCAACAUGGUGAAACCCUGUCACUAGUAAAAAUACAUAAAUUAGCUGGGGGUAGUGACGCACACCUGUAAUCCCAGCUACUUGGGAGGAUGAGGCAGGAGAAUCGCUUGAACUGGGGAAGCGGAGGUUGCAGUGAGCCGAGAUUGUGCCAUUGUACCCCAGCCUGGGCGACAGAGCAAAACUCCAUCCCAAAAAAUAAAAAUAAAAAUAAAUCCAAAAGGCACAAAAGGGUGGCAAAAAAAAGCCUUCUUCCCUCCCCAGCCAUCUAGUUUUACCAGUUUUUUAUGUGUUGUUCCAUAGAUAUUUAUGCAUUUAUAAGCAAAUAUAUAUAAUUUUCACCUUUUAAAUCAAAUAGUGUGUUCUGUGCAUACUGUUCUCUACCUUGCUUGGUUCCCAUAGCAAUGUCUUAGAAAUCAUCUCAAAAGCAGUUCAUAAAGAGCUUCCCAUUCUAUUUCACAGCUGCCUAGUAUUCAAUUGUCUAGGCCAUAAUGUAGUCAAUCCAUCCCUUAUUAUUCUAUUAUUAUUAUUAUUUUGAGACAGAUUCUCACUCUGUUGCCCAGGUUGGAGUGCAGUGGCAGGAUCAUAGCUCACUGCAACCUCGACUUCCUGGGCUCAAGCAAUACUUCUGCCUCAACCUCUGGAGUAGCUGGGAACACAGGCACACACCACCAUGCCUGGCUAAUUUUUGUAUUUUUUGUAGAGACAGGGUUUUGCCAUGUUGCCCAGGCUUGUCUCAAACUCCUGGCUUCAAGUGAUCCUCUAGCCUUGGCCUCCCAAAGUGCCAGGAUUACAGGCAUAAGCCACCAAACCUGGCCUCACCCCUCAUUAAUUGACAUUUAGAUUUUUCCAUCUUUUAUCAUUAAAAUGCUUCAAUGAAUAACAGUAUAAUUCAUUGUUUUAUAUGUAUGAGGGAAUAAUAUAUGCUUUGGCCUCUCACUACAUGGAUCUGGAAGUUUGAAAGGCAUGGGAUGAAUUGAGGCAAAUGUCAUUUCAUGUUGAAAUGAGGAGGAAGGCAGUGUUCAGCUCUUUUUUAACAAAACAAAACAAAAUUAGCCUGCCCAGGUGAGUGUCUAAUAGGGUAAAUAGCAUAGCAUAGCAUAGGCAUUACUGAAUUUCAGUGCUUAGCUCUUUGCUAUCUGAUCAACUUAGAGAGAUACAAAGCAGUCAAUCUGAGGUACUUGCAUUCUCCAAGACUUUUUAUUUUAUCCUUUCUCUUUAUUCAAUCCCAUUUUCUUGUAUUUUUAAAGAAUCAAGAAUAGGUAUCAAACACUCUAAACACUGGAGUGCUACCAGUCCUCUGCCUUUAGCUUCAAAAGGAACCUGAGCCUCCAGCUGUCAGUGAGCUCUAUUCCCUCCCUUUUCCUUCCUCCCUUCUUUCCCCUUCCCUGCUUCCUUCCCUCUCUUCCUUUUUUCCUUCCAUACCACCAAGUAACCCGCCUUUACUGAGUGCCUGUCCUAUGCAAGCUCUGUGCCAAAAUCCCUGCUCUAAAGGAUCUUGCUACUAAUCGGAGAAGAAGAGAGGGCUGCCAUUAUGGUUGUGUAGUUUGGAGGACACUUCCUGGAGGGAGGUGGGCUUGGAGAAGACCUCAUGGGCAGAAUUGCGGUUGGGGGAUCCCAGGCAUUGUUCCCUGUGGGUGGAUGGAACAGAACAAAUGAGGGCAAGGGGGAGGUGUGCUCCCCAGACACAGAGAAUAUCACAGCAAUGCUGGAGAGAGGAGCAGGCAAGAUUGGGAAGGGUGGUUUGGGGUCAGAUUACAGGUCUUCGAGAUACUGGGACCAGAGGUUGUGUGAGCAGUUGCAGGGGAAGAGGUCAGAGCUGGAAUGAUGUCCUGCCUAUACUCUAGAUUGACUGCUAUUGCAGCCUGGGCGACAGAACAAGACUUGGUCUAAAAAAAAAAAAAUUCCCAUGUGGGGCAGUGCUCAGUGACUCAAACUUAUAAUUCCAGCACUCUGAGGGGCCAAGGCUGGAGGAAUAUUUGAGGCCAGGAGUUCAAGACAAGCCUGGGCAACAUAGGGAGACCCCAUCUCUACAAAAAAUAAAAAAAUUAGCCAGGGGAGGUGGCACACGCCUAUGGUCCUAGAUACUCCAGAGGCUGAGGCAAGAGGAUCACUUGAGCUCAGGAGUUUGAGGUUACAGCAAGCUGUGACCCCACCACUGUACUCCAGUGCCUGGGUGACAGAGCGAGACCCUGUCUCUUAAAAAAAAAAAAUUCCCAUGUGGACUCCAGAUACCACAUCAUAAACAAUGGGAAUAAUUUUUCUGAAAAUGUCAUUUGGAUAUUUUUUGAGUAAGAAUCAUCUGAAAAAGAAUCCCAAGAAAUGUGUCCUCCACUUCCCAAAUAUAUUAAAGAUCAUUUCAAUCUAAUGUUGAAGGAACAAUAGCCACACCAAUUGUUUUUUAAAAAUGUAAAUUUUUUAAAAAUAAUUAAGUCCUGCUGUAGGAAAAUUUAGAAAGGCAGAAAAGCAAAAAGAACAGAAUAAUCAUCCACAAUUUUACUUCCCAGGGAAAUUAUGUUAACAUUUAGGAAUCUUUUUAUAUCUGUUUAGGUCUCGAAUGUAAUAUAUAUGUGCAAAUACAUGUACAUAUAUAUGUAAUGUGUACCCUGCUUUUCUUUACUUAUUAUCAGCAUUCUCUCAUAGCAUUCAAUAUUCCUUUAAAGCAUGAUUUUUACUGAUGGCAUAAAUCCAUUUCUGUGAAUACACCAUCAUUUAUUUAACCAUUCUUCUAGCUUGGGAGAUUUGUGUUGUUUCCAAUUCGUCACUACUACAGAUAAUGCUUCAGCAAGCAUUUUGGUACAUAAAUACUUACAUCUCUGAUUAUUUCCUGAGGAUAUAUCCAUAGAAGUGGGAUUAUAAUAUCCAAGGGUAUGGAAUUUGUUGUUGUUGUUGUUUUGUCUUGAAACAGGGUCUUGCUAUGUCAUUCAGGCUGGAGUGCAGUGGCACAAUCAUGGCUCACUGCAGCCUCAACCUCCCGGGCUCAAGCAAUCCUCCCACUUCAGCUUCCUGGGUAGCUUUCCCAAUUACAGGCAAGCACCACUAUGCCAGCUAAAUUUUACAUUUUUUUUGUAGAGAUGGGGUCUUGCCAUGUUGCCCAGGCUGGUCUCGAACUGCUGGCCUCAAGCAGUCUUCUUGCUUGAGCCUCCUAAAGUGCUGGGAUUACAGGUUUGAGCCACUGUGCCUGGCUAGAUAGGAAAUUUGCAAAGGAGUUUAAUAUACAUUAAUACAUUUAUCCUUCCAUCACCAUUAUAUGAAAACAUCAGUCUCAACAUAGCCUUAUCAACAAUAAGUAUUAUCAUUUUUAAAAAUUUUAAGCUGUUUGAUAGGUGAAAAAUUACAUCUUACUUUUGGUUCACUUUCAUGCUUCAGUUAUCAAUGAAGUUACACAUUUUUUCCAUGUGUUAAUUGACCACUUAUAUUUUUUCUUUUUCUUUUUUAUUUUUUGAGAUGAAGUCUCUCUCUGUCGCCCAUGAUGGAGUGCAAUGACAUGAUCUUGGCUCACUGCAACCUCUGCCUCCUGGGUUCAAGCGAUUCUCCUGCCUCAGCCUCCCGAGUAGCUGGGAUUACAGGCAUGCUCAACCACGCCUGGCUAAUUUUAUAUUUUUAGUAGAGACGGGGUUUCUUCAUGUUGGUCAGGCUGGUCUCUAACUCAUGACCUCAGGUGAUCUGCCUGCCUCAGCCUCCCAAAGUGCUGGGAUUACAGGCAUGAGCCACCUCGUCCAGCAACCACUUAUAUUUUUUCUUUUAUGAACUCCUGGGCUCAGGUGAUCCUCCCACCUCAGCCUCCUAAAAUGCUGAGAUCACAGGCAUGAGCCACCGGGCUCAUCCCACAUUAAAUUCUUUAAUGUAUUUGGGGCUUGUUUUGCUGCGUGAUGAGUUCUAAAAAGGAUUUUUCCCCAAGUAAUUAACCAUUUGUAAAAACUGUAUUUAUUUCACACUCUAUCCUUUCCUCGUUGAUUUGUGAUUUUAAAAAUACCAUACCAUACCAUAUCCUAAUAGCUUAAAUAUUUUAGGGUCCGUUUUAGAACCAUCUUUUGUACUUCAUUGAUCUAUUGACUUAUUCUCGUGUCACUACCACAUUGUUUCAGUGAAUGUGCCUUUCAAUUUGCUUUAAUAUCCGGUAAGGCAGAUCCUUCCUUACCGUUCUUCUCUGUCAGAAUUUUCUAACUAUUCUCAACUGUCUAUUAUUUCAGAUAUAUGCUAAAAUGAUUUUGUCAAAUUUAAAAAAUUUUGAAUUUUAUAAGCCUAUGCACCAAUUGAAAUAAAGCGUUCUCCCAUGAAUGUGCCUGCCUCUUUUCUCAGGUGUCUUGCUAAUUCUAAUCCAACAGGAGAAAGCCUCUUAAAAGUCCCCGGCAGACGACAGAAAGGAAAAUUAGAGGCAGAUAAUAGCUCUCUUGGGUGACUAGUAUUGAACAUUAUGUAUUUCCUUGUCAGAACAAUUAGCAAGGAAAAAAAAUUAGUAGAUGCCUUAAAACCUACUAGAAAGUUAAGUGGGCAAUUGCAGAAGUAGAAUUAUAUGCACAUGUAUGUAAAAAAAGUCAAAAUGGCUUUAAUUGUAAAUAGAUUGUACACAUUCAAGAGAAUGGCCACAACUGUGUUUCCUUCAUAAUUUGGAAUGCUCUCUGUGCAGGUAGUAAAGAGCUUGUGUCAGUAUAAACCCAGCUGCACUGUGUUUUGUGCCCUACACCCCUUCAUUCUGUGGGUUGAUGUGUGACCAACAGAGUUAAGCAUGAUUCGCUUAGCUGAGUCAGGAUCAGAUGCUAGGGAUCUUAAAAAUAGAUGUGUUGGAGAGCAGACUUAGCUUUAUUUCAUGAAACAUGGAGUCUCACAGGCUGCAUACUAAACCCUGACGGAAACUUUAGCAUUUUAAGCCGACUGAGCAAAAAUUCUUUCUCCUUUGGUCUAACUCAGCUUCAGUGGAAAUCUAAGAAAAAGAAAGAGGGAGAGAAGUUCCCUGAUUUUAUAAAGACUGUCCAGUGAUUGUGUGAGCUACUUAUAAAAGUAAAUCUAAAGAUCUUUAUUCACUUGCACAGGGUUUAAGUUAAAGUAGUAACAAUGUUGGAUAUCUUUCUGGUAUAGAGAAGGCAAUAUUCACAAUUUCUUUUUUCUUUUCUUUUCUUUUUUUUUUUUUUUGAGACAGAGUCUCGCACUCUUGCCCAGGCUGUAGUGCAGUGGCACGAUUUCGGCUCACUGCAAGCUCUGCCUCCCGGAUUCUCGCCAUUCUCCUGCCUCAGCCUCCCGAGUAGCUGGGACUACAGGCGCCCACCCCCACGCCCAGAUAAUUUUUUGUAUUUUUAAUAGAGAUGGGGUUUCACCAUGUUAGCCAGGACGGUCUCGAUCUCCUGACCUUGUGAUCCGCCCACCUUGGCCUCCCAAAGUGCUGGGAUUAUAGGCGUGAGCCACUGCGCCCGGCCAAUAUUCACAAUUUCAAAAGGACUAUCUGGGAGUUUUAGUAGUCUGGGCAAGCUGAUUGCUCUAACAAACAACCCUUACACUGAGCAGCUUAACACAAUAAAACUUUAUUUCUCACUCAUGUCACAUUUUAAUGUGGGUCAAUGGGGCACUCUACUCCAUGCAGUCAUGCAGGGAUCCAACUCUACCUUGUGGCUCCACCCUCCUUUAGGUUCUUGGAUCUUCUCCUUCCAGCCAGCAGAUGGGAAAAGAAAAGGAGCAUCCCAUGUAGAAUGUUUUAAUAGGCCAGGUCUGGACGUAAUGUUUCCAAUGGGUAGAAUUUAGUCCCUUGUCCACACCUAACCUCAAAGGAGACUGGAAAAUGCAGUCUAGCAGUGUGCCCAGGAAGAAGUGAGGAGCACAGAUGUUGGUGAUUACUAGUGGUUUCUGCCAUAGGACUCAUUUCUUUCUUUCUUUUUCUUUUUCUUUUUUUUUUUUUGAGAUGGAGUUUCACUCUUGUCACCCAGGCUGGAGUGCAAUGGCACGGUCUUGGCGCACUGCAACCUCCACUUCUCGAGUUCAAGUGAUUCUCCUGCCUUAGCCUCCUGAGUAGCUGGGAUUACAGGCACCUGCCACCACACCUGGCUAAUUUUUGUAUUUUCAGUAGAGACAGUGUUUUACCAUGUUGGCCAGGCUAGUCUUGAAAUCCUGACCUCAAGUCAUUCUCCCGCCUCAGCCUCCCAAAGUGCUGGGAUUACAGGCGUGAGCCACCGUGCCUGGGCAGGACUCAUUCAUUUCUUCAUGCACUCAUUCAUUCAUAAAUACUUACUGAACAGUCAUUAUGUGCCAGAUACUAGCUAAGAAGAUAGGACUUCAGAGUAUCUGCCUUCAGGAAAAUACAGUCUUGGUCUUGAAUCCUCACCUACUAGCUGUGUAAGUUUCAUCUGUUUGAGCUGCUAGGUAGGGAUGAAUGGAGCUUGCAGUGCCAUUGUGAGGGCUGCAUGAAAUAAUAUAUAUGAAGCCCCUAUCAUGUUUACAUACAUGUAAAUGACCUAUUCUGCAUUGAUCAUAUGUUUUCAAUAUUAUUUGCUAUUACUGUUAAGACACAGAAUUCACACAAUGCUUGCUUUCCCCUCAAAUCUCAAAAUAGUAGAUUUGUGCUAUCACUUUCACUGUUUACAAAUUAGCCGGGUUUUCCUUCUAUCCAAACACCAUUUUUCCAAAUACAAAAAAUACUUAAUUCUUCAACCCAAGUAGUUUAUGGUUUUUAUUAUAGCCCAUUUGUGCCCUUCAUAUUGAGAAAAGAAAAACAUUCAUUUGAAAGCCUAGAAGCUAUUGGCAGUAUAAUCAGUGGGAGUACCAGCGAAAGGAAUCGCAUAGGUUUGCACAAUAAAACCUCGAGUUUGAGGGACAAAGAGGUCUAGCCAUCCACUGUUGUGUUCACAUUGGCCACUAGAUGGCAGUGUCUCACAGGAAUAUGAUGACCCACUCUGGGGCACUAAUGGGUAUUUGCUCUUGGACUUCAAGUCUUAACUUCAAAACAAACUAAAGAGAGAUGAAAGAAGCAGCAUAAAAAUAUUAAUUUUUUUGUUCUUAAACUUGUGAAAAGAAAUAUCUCUAAACACUCUCAAAAUGUUCUCUUGUGACAUUUUAUAUCCAUUUUUAUACCUUGAGGCCAAUAGAAAUAAUGCAGUUAUUAAAGUUUAUGAACACUGACUGUGUGUGCACGAGGCUCUUGGAGUUUUCUGAGUCAGUUUCUGAGUGCCCUUUGAGCUUGAUUUCUAUUCUUGGUUUUCCAUGCACAUUUGGGAGCUGGUCUUGAUUGAAGCUGCUGAUAAAAUUCUCAUUUUUUUCCUGGUUAAAAAAAAAAAAAGGCUGGGCGCGGUGGCUCACGCCUGUA